UACGGAGGGUGCGAGCGUUGUCCGGAAUCAUUGGGCGUAAAGGGCGCGUAGGUGGCCACUUCAAGCGUGCGGUGAAAGUCCGGGCUCAACCUCGGAUCGGCCGUGGCGACUCGUGGGCUGGAGCACUGUAGAGGCGGGUGGAAUUCCGGGUGUAGCGGUGGAAUGCGUAGAGAGUCCGGAAGAACACCAGUGGCGAAGGCGGCCCGCUGGGCAGUGGCUGACGCUGAGGCGCGACAGCGUGGGGAGGCAAACAGG
rnacentral:rRNA from 1 species